rnacentral:rRNA from 1 species
GAUGAACGCUGGCGGCGUGCUUAACACAUGCAAGUCGAACGGAAAGGCCUCUGCUUGCAGGGGUACUCGAGUGGCGAACGGGUGAGUAACACGUGGGUGAUCUGCCCUGCACUUCGGGAUAAGCCUGGGAAACUGGGUCUAAUACCGGAUAGGACAAUGGUUUGGAUGCCGUUGUGGAAAGUUUUUCGGUGUGGGAUGAGCUCGCGGCCUAUCAGCUUGUUGGUGGGGUAAUGGCCUACCAAGGCGUCGACGGGUAGCCGGCCUGAGAGGGUGUACGGCCACAUUGGGACUGAGAUACGGCCCAGACUCCUACGGGAGGCAGCAGUGGGGAAUAUUGCACAAUGGGCGCAAGCCUGAUGCAGCGACGCCGCGUGGGGGAUGACGGCCUUCGGGUUGUAAACUCCUUUCGCUAGGGACGAAGCGCAAGUGACGGUACCUGGAGAAGAAACACCGGCUAACUACGU